AGUAAUCUACCGAUCCAACAGUAAUCUACCAAUCCAACAGUAAUCUACCAAUCCAACAGUAAUCUACCAAUCCAACAGUAAUCUACCAAUCCAACAGUAAUCUACGUAGCUCUGUGAUUUUGUCAACAAGGCAUUAUGGUGUAUCAUACAUCUCUUUUCCAUGAAGUAUUUUUUUGUUCAUUGGGAAGACAAAGUGUUUUAUUUUCCAUCAAAAGCAAUCCCUUUUGCCUGUGAAACCACAGAAUCCUAGUAAUUACAGCACGUGCUUAAUUACAUCACUUUUGUUUUGAGCAGAUGUCGCCUGUGGUUUUAAACAAUAAGGGUCUAGUCCGUUUGAACAUCUGGGAGACCAGGUAGGGUCUAGUCCAUCUGAACGUCUGGGAGACCAGGUAGGGUCUAGUCCAUCUGAACGUCUGGGAGACCAGGUAGGGUCUAGUCCAUCUGAACGUCUGGGAGACCAGGUAGGGUCUAGUCCAUCUGAACAUCUGGGAGACCAGGUAGGGUCUAGUCCAUCUGAACGUCUGGGAGACCAGGUAGGGUCUAGUCCAUCUGAAGGCUUCCUAUGUAGUGCACUACUUUAGCUCUGAGGCACCCUAUGUGUCUGGAAGUUGGGUAUAGAAAGGGAUUUGAGGUCCAUUGGACCGUCUACUAAUGGUCCUGGUCAUCAAGUAUCCUCCAUCACUGCUAACGACUCUGGAUGAAACCGUUAAUCUGUGACUCUGUCUGUCCAGAGCUCUUUAUUGUAAUUUCUGUCAUGUGACGCGGCUGAAGAGCACCUGAUUAUGAUGAUGUAAAGAAACAAAGGCCUGUCCAACUUAAUAAAAUGUUUGUUUAACCUUUCUAUCAGAGCGACACACCUAUUUAUUCAUAUGGACGUUUGAAUGUUCCAGAGGUGCGUUCAGUUAUUUUGUUAUGCUGCGUGAUGAUUUAUACUGAACGACACGUUUACCCAAAAUGGUGCGUACUGCUCUUCAACAGCCUUUGAGGUACUUUGCUCCCCUUUGCUGGGUGUGGACUGAUCAAUAUGGGUGUGACCAUUUGAAAUCACAAAACUUGUGCAACAAACACCAUACAAUCUACCUCUGGGUAGAUAUUAUAUAAUUAUACCAUAAUCAAAAAUGUUCAUCUAGUCGUUCGGUAUAGUACAGUUUCUGUUGAAUUCAACGUUGCACACCUUUGGUCAUACUGAUUUCAACCCCGAUGUGGAUGUAACCAUGGUGACAUUUUUGUUAAUGUUCCCAUGGUGAUGUAACUGUAUGUGUAACUAUGGUGAUGUAGUUGAAACUGGUGAUAAGGCGCUGGAUGUAGUACCUCCUGCCUCCACCAGGCAGCAGCAGAUCACCUCUAAAUUGUAAAGGUAAUUUAUAACGGUUGUGCAUUUCACACUAAAUAUCUGCAUGAGCCAUUUAUGAAAAGACUACACAUGCAAUAUUUUUGUGAUUUAUAAACUUUCCGCACUCCAUACAAAAGCAUUUUCCUGUUAAAGGGUGACUGCCCAGAGUGGGUGAAAACAUACUUUGGUGAUCAUUUCACUUCUUUAUGUUAUAGAAUACAUUUUACCAAGACAAAUAUGAUUAUUCAUGUUCUGAAUCGUUCAGUGGGGUCUUUAACAUAUCAUUAACAUUAUAUAAAAUGUUGGAAUUCGUAACAUAAUAAAGUACCAGUCACACACA